UCUCUUUGUUCUUGACGGUGUCGAAAUCCAUCCGAUCUAAAACCUAGACCUCUCUCCUCUCUCCUCUUUUCCUCUAUCUUCUACCCCUAGACCCCAAAUCCAUCAUUUUGAAACCUUGGACCUCUCUCCUCUCUCCUCUCCCCGACAACCAAACCAGUUUCCGCCUCAUAGGAUUGAUGGUGAAUUCAUCCCAUCACUCUCGCUUCAAAACAUACAGCAGAGAGCUCUAGAUUGGAAACCCUCUCUUCUCCAAUUCUUCGAGUCCUCUUUCUCUUACAUAAUCCAAGGUGGCCUCUCUAUAUAUGUUUACAGAAGAACCCGAAGCUCGAGCUCUUUCGACCCCAUGAACGGGUCAAGAAGAUCGAGUCGGUGCCUAGCAUAGAUGACGAAGAACCCCAUGGCAACUGAUUCUCUCCUGAAAGGAUUUCAUAAGAGAAGGACCUUCCCCAAAUGGGUCUCUCAGAUGCACCCCAGAAAUGGUUUCAGCUCAAAUCCUCAAGUAUCUGGUGCUGCUACAAUAUCAAAUGGGAUAGCUGAGAGUGAUGUGUUGAAAUCAUUGAUCCAGACUUCGGGACAGACAUCGUCUCGUGUGGAUUUGUGAAAGACCUACAAAUCAAUGAGGCUUUGGGAAAGGUCAUUUAGAGCAUGUAUGUGAAGAUUUUCAAUGACAGACAUUAAAAAAGAUGUCCUGACCAGUUUGAGCAAAAGGCAAAUCAUGAGGUGGUGAACGAGCUUCCUUGGGUCAAGAAUGUCAAUGUGACUGUGUCAGCACAACCUGCAAAACCCCUUUAUGCUGGGCAACAUCCAGCAGGGUUACGGACAAUUUUAAAUAUUGUGGCAGUUUCUAGUUGCAAGGUAGGGAGAGCUGGAUUACCUUGUUGUUGACAUGCCACCUGGAGCUGGCUUUGGAUAAAUCGAAGUAUAUGAAAGGCCUUCGAGCAGUAAGGAAGCACAUUCAAACAGGACCUUGAGUUGCUUGAAGCACAUUCUAAAAGAAAAGUUGAAUUUAGUUUUGAUGCUAUUGAAGAAACUCCAGUAGAUAUUGAGAGUGUAGAGUCUGGGAGCUCCUCAAACUUCAAGCUCCUUAGACUCCAAUGAGGCCAUGAGAACAGCAAAGCUUGCAAAGCUAGACACUGAAGUAAAUUUCUGGAUGUAUUUUCAAAGGAGAGGAUUAUUAGAUGUACUCCUUUUGUGGAUGAAAGAUAGAUUAUCUUUGUACAAUCCAUUUUGGUGCAUAAUGUGGAAUAUAACAAUUUCU
rnacentral:lncRNA from 1 species